UGCUGACGAGUGGCGGACGGGUGAGUAAUGUCUGGGAAACUGCCUGAUGGAGGGGGAUAACUACUGGAAACGGUAGCUAAUACCGCAUAACGUCGCAAGACCAAAGAGGGGGACCUUCGGGCCUCUUGCCAUCGGAUGUGCCCAGAUGGGAUUAGCUAGUAGGUGGGGUAACGGCUCACCUAGGCGACGAUCCCUAGCUGGUCUGAGAGGAUGACCAGCCACACUGGAACUGAGACACGGUCCAGACUCCUACGGGAGGCAGCAGUGGGGAAUAUUGCACAAUGGGCGCAAGCCUGAUGCAGCCAUGCCGCGUGUAUGAAGAAGGCCUUCGGGUUGUAAAGUACUUUCAGCGGGGAGGAAGGGAGUAAAGUUAAUACCUUUGCUCAUUGACGUUACCCGCAGAAGAAGCACCGGCUAACUCCGUGCCAGCAGCCGCGGUAAUACGGAGGGUGCAAGCGUA
rnacentral:rRNA from 1 species